UGACCUCAGCUCCUCCGGUCGCCUCCGUCCUUUCUUUUCCUAACAACCACUUUUUCAGACUGAAACCUGAAAAAUAAUGUGUGAUGGAGCCUACCUGUCUGCAGGCUACAGGACGGAGCUGCAGGCUGCUCCAGUUUACUCUCAGUUUGCAGAUCAGGGAGUCAAUGAAAGCUAAAGAGAUGUCUAACAUACAAUAUCAUACGUUAUGAGCUGUGCUUCACCACAUCUUUCUCACCCAUGACAAGGAUCAAGAGGCCAAGGAUCAGGUGGUGAGGGCAGAACCAACAGACCAGACAGCUCUCCCACAGCCAGCCUCUGAACCUGCUCUACAGUCUGAAUAGCCCGGGUGAAGUUAAACUCUCCUUCGCUGGUGCACCAGAUGGCUGAGAACAGGAUAGGCUGAUGCCCUGGAAGCUAAGAGGGAGGCGGCAAAGGAGUUCGCAGGCGAGACUGCUGAUUGCAGAGGAGCUGAAACCCACAGAGGACACGGGUCUCAAUGAACACAAGGUUUAUUAUUUUUCUACAUGCCCUGUGCCUGUAAAACAUAAGCUGGCUUGCCAACCGCCAAUAAAAGAAUAGCAGAAGCAGAAAGCUUUUGCCGUGGAAGAUACCGUUGCUAAGGCUCGGCCAGGAAGGUCAUGACGGGAAAUCCAGAGACCUGGAACGUGAACGUCCAGAAAAGCAGGAGAAUGGAGGGCCUGGAUUGAAGGACGCAAGACAAAUGUGGACACCAUGCCAGUCCGCAGCCUGCCAAAGGUUCACUAAACUCUACUGCAGAAGACACAUCAUAAGAACAAGAUUGCUAAGUAUUUCUGGGGGAAUUUGGACUGAAGAAAUGGUUGUGAAGUCUGUGGUGAAGGGGAGCAGAUGGAUCCAGGUCAGCAUCCAUUAUUUGUCACCUUGUAGUAGACUGGAGAAGAAUCUGUGUACCAACGCUUGUUCCUGUCAACAUUGGGCAUAAAGCACUGGUGGUUUUUGAAGAGGAGAAAGUCAGAAGACUGAGGAACAGAAGGAAAAGAUGUCUUUGGUGUGGAAAACUGGAGCGCCCACACAGACACAGGGAGAACAUGCAUUCUCCACACAGAGGUCUGGGAUGGCGGGUUUGAACAUGAGACCUUCUUGCUGUGAAGCCACAGUGCUUUCCAUCCAUAAGAUCUUCCUUCUGGACCUUUGGAAAGUUCAGUCGCACUGCUAAAGACCAGCACGAUGCCUGCUGUUCAUUCAAGCCUGGAAACAUCGGAGGACAAAGAAGAUGCAGGUGAGAAGACCUCAGUGGCGCUCACUCCAAUUCCAGGCCAUACCGUGAGAUACAACGUGGAUGGCACCGCUGAGAUGACUGGGAAGUCUAUCUGUCCCCACAGCAGCCCCACUGUGCACAGCCAGCCAGUUAAAGAGCUGAAGGUCAAACAGCCCCAAGAACUGAAGGUUUUGCCCCAGAACUUCCACUCAUCCUACGAUGGACUGGACCACGAGUGAUGCCCGUCAGCAGCUGGAGCCUCACGCACACUGAUGUACAUAAGCUAUAUUGGUUACACUUCAUUAAAAUCAGCGUAAUUAUA